rnacentral:rRNA from 1 species
CAGUCGCCGCGGGAAUACGUAGGGUGCAAGCGUUAUCCGGAAUUAUUGGGCGUAAAGAGCUCGUAGGCGGUCUGUCGCGUCUGCUGUGAAAACUGGGGGCUCAACCCCCAGCCUGCAGUGGGUACGGGCAGACUAGAGUGCGGUAGGGGAGAUUGGAACUCCUGGUGUAGCGGUGGAAUGCGCAGAUAUCAGGAAGAACACCGAUGGCGAAGGCAGAUCUCUGGGCCGUAACUGACGCUGAGGAGCGAAAGCAUGGGGAGCGAACAGGAUUAGAUACCCCAGUAGUCCCUGUCUCUUAUAC